AGCGAACGCUGGCGGCAGGCUUAACACAUGCAAGUCGAGCGGGCGUAGCAAUACGUCAGCGGCAGACGGGUGAGUAACGCGUGGGAACGUACCUUUUGGUUCGGAACAACACAGGGAAACUUGUGCUAAUACCGGAUAAGCCCUUACGGGGAAAGAUUUAUCGCCGAAAGAUCGGCCCCGCGUCUGAUUAGCUAGUUGGUGAGGUAACGGCUCACCAAGGCGACGAUCAGUAGCUGGUCUGAGAGGAUGAUCAGCCACAUUGGGACUGAGACACGGCCCAAACUCCUACGGGAGGCAGCAGUGGGGAAUAUUGGACAAUGGGCGCAAGCCUGAUCCAGCCAUGCCGCGUGAGUGAUGAAGGCCCUAGGGUUGUAAAGCUCUUUUGUGCGGGAAGAUAAUGACGGUACCGCAAGAAUAAGCCCCGGCUAACUUCGUGCCAGCAGCCGCGGUAAUACGAAGGGGGCUAGCGUUGCUCGGAAUCACUGGGCGUAAAGGGUGCGUAGGCGGGUCUUUAAGUCAGGGGUGAAAUCCUGGAGCUCAACUCCAGAACUGCCUUUGAUACUGAGG
rnacentral:rRNA from 1 species